AAAAGUUAGAAAAGGAAGAAAAAGUAAAUAUGAUGAAAGUAGAGGGAAGGAAAUAAUAAAGAUAAAAGCAAAAGUUAAGUUAAAACCAAAUAGUAGAAGGAGUAGAUAAAAAAUAGUUCUUUGAAAUAACUAACAAAGUAGAUCUAAUCAUUACAAAAGAAACCAAAACACAAAUUAAAACAUGAGAAUGGGAGAGUAACCUCUGACUCAGGGCAUUCUGAAAUAUCAUGUGUCUAAGUUGUAUUAAUACAAUCCCAUGCAAAUACAUUUGAAUAUCUGGAUGAAAUGGUUAAUGUUCUAGAAAAUAUAGCUUACCAAAACUGACCGCAGUAGAGAAAGAAAAUCUAAAAGACCAAAUUUCCAUAGAGGAUAGAAAGUUAUAAACUAAUCCCAAAAAAGCACCAGGCCCAGAUGGUUUUAUAGGAAAACUCUAAUGGGCCUUUAAAGAUUAGAUAAUUUUAAUAUAAUUCAAAUUGCUCCAGAGAUAUAAAAAGAAGGAACAUUUCUAUAAUCUUUUAUAAUAAUAAAGUGAAUAUAUCAUUGAUUUAUAUACCCAAUAAAUGCUGCAUUCACAAACUCAAAAGAAAGUUGUAGACUAUCUCACUUAUAAAUAAAAAAUCCUAAAUAAUAUACUAGCAAGCAGAAUUGAACACCACAUUAAAAAUAUAAUACAUCAUGAUUAAGAAGUGUUUCUUUUAGGAAUGUGAACAGUGUGGCCCAGAAAGUCUAGAAACAGACCCAAACACAUAUAAGAAACUGGAAAGGUAGCAUAUGAAAUUAGUAGGCAGAAGUAGACUCCUCAAUAAUGGUGUGAGAACCACUAAAAAGACACCUAGAAAAAAAUUAAUUGGAUCCCUACCUCAUAACUUAAAGCAAAAUAAAUUUUAUAAAAACUGGCAUAUAAAAAAUGAAACAUAAAAACACUAAAAGUAAACAAAUAAUUAUUUGCACUCUCAAGUGGGGAUGGUUUAAGUCUGACACAAAAUAUAGAGGCUAUAAAAUAAAAUAGUAAUAUUUGACAACACUAAAAUGAAAGCUUCUUAAUAGCAAAUAUGUAUAUAUAAAAUCAAAAGACAAAUUAAAAAUUGCUAAAAAUGGGACAAAGGCUAAUUUUAUUAAUACAUGAAGAGCUCCUAAAGAAAACAACAAUUAGAAAAAGAACGACAACCCACCCACAGAAAAAUGGGUAAAGGAUUUACAAAACAAAAAAUUUACAAAAAGUAAACUUCAGAUGACUUGAAGUGAAUAUGACAAUAAUAUUGAAUGUUAUGAUAUUGAUUGAUGAUACUAAAUAUGGAAAAGAUGCUUAACAUGCUCAUAAUAAGAAAAACAUAGAUUAAAUCCACAAUAAUAUAUAAUUUUCAUCUACCUGACUAACAAGAUCAAAAAAUGGUGUUAGCAACAGCUGUGGGGAAGCAGGCAUACUCAGACAUUGCUGGUGAGAGGGUAAUUACCUACAAACACUAUGGAAAUCAAUUUGAAAAUUCUAUUAAAAUAAAAAACAAACUUAUCUUUCAAUCCAACGAUGCUACCUCUAAGAAUUUAUCCCAAAGACAUACUUGAAAAUGUAUGUCUUGAAAAUGUAUGUAAGAAAUGAUAUUUGGACAAGGUUAUUGUUACAGCAUCCUUUGAAAAAGCAAAAAUUGGUAACACUUAAAUGUUCAAUAGGGAAAUAAUAGUCAAAUAAAUUAUGUAACAGUCAUGAAAUUGAAUACUAUGUAGCUAUUUAAAAGAAGGAGUCAACCUUAAAUUUGCUGAUAUGGAAUAAUCUCCAAGGUACAUUUUGUCUGCUUGCUUUUGGCUUAAAACAACAGAAAUUUAUUCUCUCACAGUUCUGGAGGCUAGGAGUCCGAAAUUGAGCUGUUGGCAGGGCUACGUUUCCUCUGAAGGACUGGGGAAGGAUCUGUUCCGUGCCUCCCUUUCAGCUUCUGGAAAUUGUUGGCUCAGCCCUGAGAGCUGGGCCUGGCACAGAGCGAAUGCUGGGUGAAGAUGCUCAGAGCCACCACGUACGUCAUUGCUAGAGCUCUACCUCUGUCCCGGCUCUUUACUGGCUUGAAAGAUCCUAUCAGAGUCCAGCACCUCCACAAGGGCCCCCAAGGGUACUGCUGGGACUCAGCCAGCCAGCACUGUCACCUCCCAGGCAGCAAACAAGACCCCAAGACACAGUCUGACAUAAGCUUUACAAAACUUUCUGGAGCCAGCUGGCCUUACCUACUUCAGAACCAAAUGCCAGGAAACUCUAGCUGGCCCGCCAAGUCCCCAGGACUGAAGGGAUGGAGGACUUGCUGACAUGUGCCUUGGUCCCUCAUUGCUCUACUCCCACACCUCCCCUUCCUGUCUGCACGGCGCACCAUGUCUCAGCAUAGCAGGCUCCAUCCAUGCUACGCUCAACACGGGCUGGGCAAGCCAGCUGCAGAGGAUCAGGGGUUCCCUGCAGGGCCCAGUCUCCGUGUUGCUGGGAAGAUGCUGGAUGAUCCUGGAUCCAGGUCCAGGAGGUGGAUGAGAGGCAGCCGACCCAUGCCCCACUCUUCAUCAAGAGUCUACUCUUCCAGCCAAAAGCCACAGUUCAUUUCUUAGUGAAAACGGUUCCAUAGUCUCCCAGGGAGACAUUUUGCUUUCGCCUCUCUUCUUCGUGAAGGGCAAGCCAUCAGAGUGUCUGCAACCCAACUACGUCUCAGGUGUCGGGCUUCCAUCAGCAUCACAGUCGGUGAGUAUCACGGUACAACCCCCAAGAGCAACUGAGGAGGAGUCUCUGGGAAAACACCCAAACAGCCUUCAGUCUCUUCCUUCCCCUGUCUCUUCGCUCUCAAAACCUCUUAGCCCUCCUUGCCAAAGAGUAGGAUCCGCUUCCACCGAGCUAGUCUUUCCUUCCACCUGCAGUAUCUUUCCUUUCAGAUCUCUCCACUGCAGGCUGCUUCUGCAGCUAACCCUCAUGCCCAGGUCAAAAGGCACACACACGAGCCUCGAAGGCAGACAGCAAAUUGUCAGCUCCCCACCCUGCGACUCCCCUCUUGUGCAAAGGAUCUCAUAUGUCUUCACUUGUCACCUCUUAACUUGUCAUAUGCAUGGUUUGUCAUAUGAUGCCGAGACCUCAAUUCUGGACUCUUACGGAAGGUCAAACGUUUACUCAGCCAUUAAAGCUGUCUGUGCAAGAGUCGUUUACAUUUGUAUUUGCAAGGAAAACAGAGUGUACCUGGUAGACAGCAUUUAAUAGCUUUUCUCCAUUAACCCAAGGAGGCCACAGGAAGCACCCAGGCCAGAUACAACACAUACUCAUCGUGGUCUUUUCUCUCCCCGCCAAAGAAAACAAGAAGAAAGCACUUGUGCCAUCCUGUCCCCGCCUCCCAAGC